rnacentral:rRNA from 1 species
AUUGAACGCUGGCGGCAUGUUUUACACAUGCCAGUCGAACGGUAACAGCACUUCGGUGGCUGACGAGUGGCGAACGGGUGAGUAAUACAUCGGAACGUGCCUAGUAGUGGGGGAUAACUACUCGAAAGAGUAGCUAAUACCGCAUGAGAUCUAAGGAUGAAAGCAGGGGACCUUCGGGCCUUGCGCUACUAGAGCGGCUGAUGGCAGAUUAGGUAGUUGGUGGGAUAAAAGCUUACCAAGCCGACGAUCUGUAGCUGGUCUGAGAGGACGACCAGCCACACUGGGACUGAGACACGGCCCAGACUCCUACGGGAGGCAGCAGUGGGGAAUUUUGGACAAUGGGCGCAAGCCUGAUCCAGCAAUGCCGCGUGCAGGAUGAAGGCCUUCGGGUUGUAAACUGCUUUUGUACGGAACGAAAAGCCCUCUUCUAAUACAGGAGGGUCAUGACGGUACCGGAAGAAUAAGCACCGGCUAACUACGUG